UUUAUUUCCAGACUCUCCGCUCUUAGAACCCAGCUUGUUAUUAUAUUGUGUGGUUCGCGCUCCGCGGUUCGAUGACCCAACUCGUGCUGUGAUGAUCUAAAAGCUGCGGUGAAGUAGGUGAGGUCGAUCUUCAAAGUUGAAAAUUCCCUUCUCACUCCAAUCUCAGCCGGGCCAGGAUAGUUAUAAGAGAGGAGCGUAGAGCCAAGAGUAUCACAACAACGCAUAGUCUACUGGAGCUGUAACCUUCAGCAUACCCUUUGAGUAUGAGGGCUGUGACCUCCGCGGUGGGAACUGCCUUUCCUAGGACACACUUCAAGCACAGUGCCCAAACAAGAAUGGUCUAAUUGUGGUAGCCCAGACCAAGCUCAAUGGCCACAUCGGGAACACCAGUGGCCGGCUGGUGAACGGUGCGGGCUUCCGCAACUCUUGCAGGGAUAUGAAAGAGAUCCAGGUUUACAGCAAUGUGUUCAAGAUUGAGGCAACCUGCAACAACAACGCCGGUGGGUCCAACCCCACCAGCUUCAAUCUGAACAUGCGUGUGGCCAACGUCAAUGGGGUCUUGGAGUUCCACGCUUGUUGAUCGGCGACUCUGGUGGUGGAUCCAGAAGUCCUUUCGUAUUUUGGUCCGUCGUCCACGUCAGCCCGGAGGUCGAUAUGAAACUGCAAUAAGCAUUGGUAGCUCUUCGUAGGACCUGCCAGCGACGUGUGUUGUUCCAGGUUAAUGAUCACUACAGUUUUGAAUUGGGUGUGGGCUGUUCAGUACUGUCUCGCUGUAUUGAACGAUGUGGAGAAAUACUUAAUCCUGUAGGUAGCUGUGCAGAUAGUAAUUUGUCCAGCUCUAUGGAUGCCAUGGAUGAUCCUCCACCUGAAAGGAGCCUCUUUCUAUCAGAUUGUGCGUUCACUAGAAAGGGGAUUUGUCAUCCGUUUUUGACUGUGCAUAGCAUGUAACCCUAUCAUUGUUUGACCCCCACUAUAUUGCACAAGAGUGAAGUGCUAGGAAUCGUAAUUCCUCUUCUGAUUCAA